rnacentral:rRNA from 1 species
GACGAACGCUGGCGGCGUGCUUAACACAUGCAAGUCGAACGGAAAGGCCCUGCUUUUGUGGGGUGCUCGAGUGGCGAACGGGUGAGUAACACGUGAGUAACCUGCCCUUGACUUUGGGAUAACUUCAGGAAACUGGGGCUAAUACCGGAUAGGAGCUCCUGCUGCAUGGUGGGGGUUGGAAAGUUUCGGCGGUUGGGGAUGGACUCGCGGCUUAUCAGCUUGUUGGUGGGGUAGUGGCUUACCAAGGCUUUGACGGAUAGCCGGCCUGAGAGGGUGACCGGCCACAAUGGGACUGAGAUACGGCCCAGACUCCUACGGGAGGCAGCAGUGGGGAAUAUUGCACAAUGGGCGGAAGCCUGAUGCAGCAACGCCGCGUGCGGGAUGACGGCCUUCGGGUUGUAAACCGCUUUCGCCUGUGACGAAGCGUGAGUGACGGUAAUGGGUAAAGAAGCACCGGCUAACUACGUG